CUCCUUUCUUUCCACUCUUCUUUAACUUUGAUUUUUCUUUGUUCAAAUCAGUCCUACCAUGAUCAACACAAUAAAAUCUCUGUCUAUUAACAUUUGUUGAUCUUGAUCAAGAUAAUUUACCAACAUGGUUCAAAUUUGGUUUGUAGGAGGACAGCCAGAGAUCAUAGCUCGGGGCGGAUUCUCAGGGAUUUUCCCUGAAUCCAGCGCACCUGCAAAUCAGAUGGCAUUAGACACCAGUUUGUCAGACACGGUAUUGUUGUGCAAUCUGCAACUUACCCAAGACGGAUUUGGAAUUUGCUUGCCUGAUAUCAGGCUCGAUAACACAACCACCGCGCCCAUGGUGUUUCCCAAAGGCAAGAAGACCUACAAAGUUAAUGGACAAGAUGUUCAUGGCUGGUUUGCUUUGGAUUAUCCAAUUGACCAGUUACUUGGCAGUGUAAAUUGUAAGUCUAAAAAGGACCUAAAUGUUAAGUUUUUGUUCCUAUUCUCAUGAUGAUUCUAUGAUAACAUUCUAAUAUUACGUAAUAGUUCAGUGAGUUUAUAUAUAUUUUGUAUGACUCAGUAAUUCAAAACAUUUUCUCGAGACCGAGUCUCUUUGACGGCCUAUUGCCAAUUUCAAGUGUUGAGGAUGCUGUAGGAGUUAGACCUAAAAAGUUCUGGCUGAGUGUUCAGGUCUCUUUCUAUAUCUCUCGUUCCUUGAUUUCAAACCUACCGACACUAGCAUUGUUAUGGUGACAUGGGUCAAUUAUAUAUCUACUCUAUGUUGCAGAAUAAUGCAUUUUAUGCCGAACACAAGCUCAGCGUAGCAGCAUAUCUACGAACUGCAAAUAGAGUUAUUAUAAAUUAUAUUUCAUCACCUGAGAUUGGUUUCUUGAAGAGCAUCAGUGGGCAGAUAAACAAAGGUAGGACGAAGCUGAUCUUCGAGUUCAAAGAACUUGAUGCCACUGAGCCAACAAUCAACAAGAAAUACAGUGCAAUUUUGCAGGAUCUUGCAAGUAUCAAGG
rnacentral:lncRNA from 1 species